rnacentral:lncRNA from 1 species
CCCACGCGACAGUCGUCGACAGUCGUCUUCGCUGGUACGCGCGUUCCGAUCACCUGGAGCUUGCGAUCUACGCAUCGGUCUCUCUUUCUUCAUCGUAAGAUUUGUUUGCUCGUUCAUCGCGCGAUGGUUCACGGGUUUCACGAGGUGUCUGCCGAUAUUUUCUUGAAAUUCUAUGAUCGUAGUGCAGCCGGGAAAAUAGCCGCCGAUUAAAUAGAUCAAUCAAGAAUCAUCGACGAGGAGUCCGAUGAUGAUAAUCAGAUUUGAAGAAGAUCGUGGUAUUUGUCUUCCGGGUUUCCAACGUGUUACAAUAUCAAUGUGUUACUCGAUAUGGUGACGUUCGGCGACACUUAUCUAAACAAGAUCAUCGACAACUUGUUUGAAGAAAAGAAGAAAUAAGAUAAGCUGCAUAAUGUUUCAGUUCAUCGAAUCAUUCUUACCACGACGUCAUCCGAAAUCCUGGAACAUCUGGAUUGAGUGGCGAACCAGCAGCAUUCCUCCUGCAUGAUUCGCGACAAAAUUUCUCUGCUUUCCGUGAUUCUAUGAAUAGCAGCCGAGGUACCCAGGAUCCCACAGGAUCUCGAUGAAAAAGGAAAGGCAACAGGAGUGGAGAGAUAAUUCCGGAAACAACCCUCACCUGAUAAGGAUGCCACUUUUGACCAUCAGGAAAUUCGCUGUACUCCAUAUUCUCUUGGCGACUCUCUCGAUAGGAUCAGUCACGUUGCCGUACCAAUCGGUCAUUCGGGGCGAAUGGAUCGGCUUUGGACGAGACGUCGACUGG